GAUGAACGCUAGCGGCAGGCUUAAUACAUGCAAGUCGAGGGGCAACAGGGGUAGCAAUACCUGCUGGCGACCGGCAAACGGGUGCGGAACACGUACAGAACCUUCCUUUAAGCGGGGGAUAGCCCAUAGAAAUGUGGAUUAAUACCCCAUAGUAAUAUUGACUGGCAUCAGUUGGUAUUUAAAGAUUUAUCACUUAAAGAUGGCUGUGCGGCUGAUUAGGUAGUUGGUGGGGUAACGGCCCACCAAGCCAGCGAUCAGUAACUGGUGUGAGAGCACGACCAGUCACACGGGCACUGAGACACGGGCCCGGACUCCUACGGGAGGCAGCAGUAAGGAAUAUUGGUCAAUGGACG
rnacentral:rRNA from 1 species